CUGACUCCAUACUGUCUGCAGUGCACUGAAUCAGUCCUGAGCUCAGCCAGCUGCAGCUGACUCCAUACUGUCUGCAGUGCACUGAAUCAGUCCUGAGCUCAGCCAGCUACAGCUGACUCUAUACUGUCUGCAGUGCACUGAAUCAGUCCUGAGCUCAGCCAGCUGCAACUGACACUAUACUGUCUGCAGUGCACUGAAUCAGUCCUGAGCUCAGCCAGCUGCAACUGACUCUGUACUGUCUGCAGUGCACUGAAUCAGUCCUGAGCUCAGCCAGCUGCAGCUGACUCCAUACUGUCUGAAUUGCACUGAAUCAGUCCUGAGCUCAGCCAGCUGCAGCUGACUCCAUACUGUCUGAAUUGCACUGAAUCAGUCCUGAGCUCAGCCAGCUGCAGCUGACUCCAUACUGUCUGAAUUGCACUGACUUAAAAAAAAAAAUAAAUAAAAAACUUAUAGAUGUAGGAUCUUGCAUGGAUGUUGCAGGGGAACUUUACUGCAAUGCAGGACUUUUUCAAAGUAUAGUGUAUUUGAGGUUUAAAAAGCUUCUGAUGUUUCUAAUUUCCACUUUGAAAUUUCAGACAUGAUUUUAUCUUAUGAUGAAAAAUGUAUCAACCC
ensembl:lncRNA